AGACCCCUGCCCAAGCACCCAACACCUGUGAUCAUCACCUGCCUCUUAAUUCAGCUUAAUCCAGAUCUCCCCCCUGGGACUUGCGGGAUACAAAGGGAGGGCAGGCAUCUUCUGGAAUCAGAACAGCUCUCCAUGACAGAUCCAGUGAGCUCACUCAAGGACUUGUGCCCAGAGACUCAGUGCCUCAGCGCCUCAGCAGCCUCCCCAGGAAGAGCCACCCUUCCCAGUUCUGUCCCAGGCCUGAUGGUCCCUCACAGAGGAAGAGACCAGCCUUUGUUGUCACCUCCCAAGAAUCAGCUGCUGCACUGGGCGUUUCCCAGACCUUCAAGUUAGAAAUAGUACCACUGUUGUGCCGUGUUACAGACUGGAGAGCUGAGCCUCCGCUAGGACGGCCUUCAGAGGUAGUCUUUAGCCUUAGGGCUGGAGACUGGAGAACCCCAGCCGAGGGCCACAAGGCCCUGGUAUCUCCAGGACCUCAAGCUUCUCCAUUGCUGGAUUCCAAGCACAGUGUGACCCAGCAGGGCUCCUCGGGAAGGCCCCGGACCCCCCACCCCUACCCCGGGGCCAUUAAAGCUUGCUUUUCUUGUUUUAUAGAAUUAACUCUUUAA